ACCUGGAAUGGGCGCAAGCCUGACCGCAACGCCGCGCUGUGGGAAGAAGGUCUUCGGAUUGUAAACCACUUUUCAACGGGGACGAUGAUAACGGGACCCGUCCAAAAAACCACGGCUAACUUCGCGCCUCCCCCGCGGUAAUACAAAGGGGGCUAGCGUUGCUCGUAAUGACUGGUUGUAAAGGGUGCGCUCCGGGUGGAUUAUUCCGGCGUGAAAUUCCUGGGCUCGCCUGGGGACUGCGUUUGAUACUGUUUGGCUAACUAAUGGAAGAGGCUCGUGGAAUUCCCAUUGUGGAGGUGAAAUUCAUAGAUCUUGGGAAGAACACCACUGGCGAAGGCAACGAGCUGGUCCAUUACUGACCCUGAGGCACGAAA
rnacentral:rRNA from 1 species